rnacentral:tRNA from 1 species
GGAGAGGUGGUAGAGCGGUUGAAUACACCAGUCUUGAAAACUGGCAUACGAGCAAUCGUAUCGAGGGUUCGAAUCCCUCCCUCUCCGCCA